rnacentral:rRNA from 1 species
UACAGAGGUCCCAAGCGUUGUUCGGAUUCAUUGGGCGUAAAGGGUGCGUAGGUGGCGCGCUAAGUCAGGUGUGAAAUUUCGGAGCUUAACUCCGAAACUGCAUUUGAUACUGGCGUGCUUGAGGACUGGAGAGGAGACUGGAAUUUACGGUGUAGCAGUGAAAUGCGUAGAGAUCGGAAGGAAGACCAGUGGCGAAGGCGGGUCUCUGGACAGUUCCUGACACUGAGGCACGAAGGCCAGGGGAGCAAACGGG